UACGUAGGGUGCAAGCGUUGUCCGGAAUUAUUGGGCGUAAAGAGCUCGUAGGCGGUCUGUCGCGUCGGCUGUGAAAACCCGAGGCUCAACCUCGGGCCUGCAGUCGAUACGGGCAAACUAGAGUACUGCAGGGGAGACUGGAAUUCCUGGUGUAGCGGUGAAAUGCGCAGAUAUCAGGAGGAACACCGGUGGCGAAGGCGGCUCUCUGGGCCUUACCUGACGCUGAGGCGCGAAAGCUAGGGGAGCGAACAGG
rnacentral:rRNA from 1 species